AUUGAACGCUGGCGGCAGGCUUAACACAUGCAAGUCGAGCGGAGAUGAGGUGCUUGCACCUUAUCUUAGCGGCGGACGGGUGAGUAAUGCUUAGGAAUCUGCCUAUUAGUGGGGGACAACAUUCCGAAAGGAAUGCUAAUACCGCAUACGUCCUACGGGAGAAAGCAGGGGAUCUUCGGACCUUGCGCUACUAGAUGAGCCUAAGUCGGAUUAGCUAGUUGGUGGGGUAAAGGCCUACCAAGGCGACGAUCUGUAGCGGGUCUGAGAGGAUGAUCCGCCACACUGGGACUGAGACACGGCCCAGACUCCUACGGGAGGCAGCAGUGGGGAUUAUUGGACAAUGGGGGGAACCCUGAUCCAGCCAUGCCGCGUGUGUGAAGAAGGCCUUAUGGUUGUAAAGCACUUUAAGCGAGGAGGAGGCUACUGAGACUAAUACUCUUGGAUAGUGGACGUUACUCGCAGAAUAAGCACCGGCUAACUCUGUGCCAGCCGCCGCGGUAACAC
rnacentral:rRNA from 1 species